rnacentral:rRNA from 1 species
UACGAAGGGGGCUAGCGUUGUUCGGAUUUACUGGGCGUAAAGCGCACGUAGGCGGAUCUUUAAGUCAGAGGUGAAAUCCCAAGGCUCAACCUUGGAACUGCCUUUGAUACUGGGGAUCUUGAGUCCGGGAGAGGUGAGUGGAACUGCGAGUGUAGAGGUGAAAUUCGUAGAUAUUCGCAAGAACACCAGUGGCGAAGGCGGCUCACUGGCCCGGUACUGACGCUGAGGUGCGAAAGCGUGGGGAGCAACAG